rnacentral:rRNA from 1 species
UACGGAGGAUGCGAGCGUUAUCCGGAUUUAUUGGGUUUAAAGGGUGCGCAGGCGGAUAUAUAAGUCAGUGGUGAAAGACCUGGCUCAACCGAGGUACUGCCGUUGAUACUGUAUAUCUUGAGUGUAGUGGGCGUUGGCGGAAUGUGUCAUGUAGCGGUGAAAUGCAUAGAGAUGACACAGAACACCGGUAGCGAAGGCAGCUGACGAUACUUACACUGACGCUCAUGCACGAGAGCGUGGGGAUCAAACAGG